AAAUUGAAGAGUUUGAUCAUGGCUCAGAUUGAACGCUGGCGGCAGGCCUAACACAUGCAAGUCGAACGGUAACAGGAAGCAGCUUGCUGCUUUGCUGACGAGUGGCGGACGGGUGAGUAAUGUCUGGGAAACUGCCUGAUGGAGGGGGAUAACUACUGGAAACGGUGGCUAAUACCGCAUAACGUCGCAAGACCAAAGAGGGGGACCUUCGGGCCUCUUGCCAUCAGAUGUGCCCAGAUGGG
rnacentral:rRNA from 8 species